AUAACUUUAUUCCCAGCUGGAUGGAAAAUACAAUGCAUUAAAUCUGUUCUUAUCAGCUUAAUAUCUGAUACGGGUUCAAAUGGACCCCAGAAUAUUAAACUGAUUUCUGAAAAUCGGUGGGAACGCUGUGCUUGCAUAGCCCCCGCCACGAGUUGACCUGGUAUUGCAGUACUUCCAGGAUCGGCUCACCCUUU